AAGUUACUCUUUCACAUCCCCCAAUUGACCUCAAGGACUAUGAACUCUGCAAUGAGAGUUUAAAACCUUGUCAAGAUUUCUAAAUGUGUUGUUAAAAGCAGUCUGUAAUGGUCUUUCCACAGAUCUGGUAUAAAGGAGUCAUUUUGUUGCUAUUCUAGGAGCAUUGUGGACAUAGAAGUGCUGGACAGUUUCUCAGAAAUCUGUGAUAAGAAACAUCACCAUUUGAAAAACUUACUUGCCAAGCAUGCAUAAGCCUUGGGUUCCUUUACAGAACCCCAUAAACAUGUAGUUCCAGCACUGAUUAGGUAAAAAGAUGGGAUUGAAAGAGCAAGAAUAUACUUUAAGUGACUAGACUAAGAAAUUUACAGGCUUGCCUCACAUGCUGAGCCUUUGCAAGCAUGACAGUGAUUUUGGUACAACCAGACCUGGAGUUCUUUCAGUUCUUGACUGUAUAUGUGAUGAGACUUUUACUCCAACUGUCUCUGUAAGUUCACCAUCUGUUCAUUGGCAAUAAUAGUUCUCAGGUUCACCAUUUGAUUUGAACAUGCUUAAUUUUUUUCUUUAUUUAUGUCCUAUAAGGGAAUUAUUUAUUCUGAGUCUCCAGAAGUCAGGGUAAGGCUAUACAUGCACUAUGUUGUGCACUAUAAUGAUGCCUCCAUGAAGACACCAAUAUGUCUAUGAUACGUGCAAGGAGGAGCCAUUCCCUCAAACAUGGUGCCUUGCUGAGUUUCAGUAUAGGAGCUCUGAGUGGCACACUUGGGAGGAAGCCAAGACCUAUAAGGAGUCUGUAGGCUAAAGAGGUCUUAAGCUCAUCUAUGUGGUUUUGUAGAGCAGCUCAUCAGUAAGCAGACAAGCACAAAAAGCAAAGCAUGAAUGUUGGAAGUUAGCAGAACGUAUUUGUCAGGGAUGAUGGCUCUUAGGCACCAAAGAGAUACCAUCCCUAGCUGCAGUGGGGGAAACUGCAGGCUACAGGACACAAAAAGAAAUAUGCAGAAUUGAUAUCACUGAAGAGAUUUCAGAAAACUCCAG
ensembl:lncRNA